ACCAAACAGUCCUAUCUACUGUACAGGAAGGAAGGAACUGCAGAUGCUGGUUUACACCGAAGAUAGACACAAAGUGCUGGAGUAACGCAGCGGGACAGGCAGCAGCUCUGGUGAGAAGGAAUGGGUGGCGUUCCGGGUCGAGACCCUUCUCCAGAAUGAGUGUCAGCGAAGAGGGAGACAUCGAGAUACGGAAGGAGCACAGACUUCAAGCGGAAGCGACAGAUUUUGAAAGGAGAAAGAUCGUACGACGGCUUCUCUCCGAGGCAGAGUUCCGAAAGGACUUUCCCAACCACCGGAGCAAGCUUGAACCCAUGACCUAAAAAUAUAAAGUCAGACCCGUAAGGAAAGAUUAUCAAGCUGCAGAAUAUAAUCAACUAAUUUUCAAAUUCUGGGGCUGCUAAAUAUAACGUUCUGCCAUUCCAGGAACUAUAAAGAGCAAAUAUUAAAUAUAAACAUUUUCUUCCUGUGCUAGAAUUGUUCUCUUCAUUUUAGCCGUCUGACCGUUUCACCUGGCCAUUCGGACCAUCAAGUC